AGAUCCACAAGGUAUAUUUCCUGGCUGCAGGUUUUCACUUGUGCAAUGCAAACUGAAAGGUUAAGUUUGUUGAAGGCAAGGCAAACCUUCUGAAGCUGUAUGGAUUUCAUUCCAAGGCAGGAACAAUGGGUACAGCUCAACCCAUUUGUUGUGGAUGUCUGCACCACUGAAGCUCGCUUUCAAACCACAACAUGAACAAUCUGCCGCACCAGACUUUUUUUGGCAGUGGUGCACAAAGCAAGGUCCAUAAAGACAUGGUUGGAUGAGUUUGGAAGAACGUGACUGUCCCCCAGAGAGCCCUGACCUCAACCCCCACAAACACCUUUGGGAUGAACUGGAAUGGGGAUUGCGAG